rnacentral:lncRNA from 1 species
CACCCCUUAGCGAGCUUUCGACCAACGACUCCCAGACCAUAUAAGACCUUAGGGCGCUAGGUUUUAAGAUACCCCUUCGGGCGUACUUACUCAAGUAACAAAGGCCCCGAAACAAAACUAGCCACGGUAAUUUUUAUUUUAUUUUUCUUUCUUUUUCUUUCUUUUUUUUUUGUUUUGUUUUUUUUUUAAUGAAGCUUAUAUAUCCCAAAUUUCCCCCCCAAACUUAAGUUUUUAUCUAAAUUUAGCCAUCUCUGCCUAUUCAUGUCUUUCAUUCCUUCAAACUAGUAUUAUCCUUAAAAAAACCAUUAUGUAUCAAUUUAAACUUAAUUAGUUAACAUAGUUGUUAUUAACGUGCUAACCUUGAUUAUACCAGUUUCAAACAGGAAAAGAUUCAAUUCAUAACAAGAAAUCACAUCAAAGCCUUAAUAUUCAAUACUAUACUUAUCUACUUAAUUCCAGUCUCAUCAUUGGCCAAAAUAGACUUUUACU